CCUACGGGUGGCAGCAGUGGGGAAUAUUGCACAAUGGGGGGAACCCUGAUGCAGCGACGCCGCGUGGGUGAAGGAGUACUUCGGUACGUAAAGCCCUAUCAGCAGGAAAGAAAAUGACGGUACCUGACUAAGAAGCCCCGGCUAACUACGUGCCAGCAGCCGCGGUAAUACGUAGGGGGCAAGCGUUAUCCGGAUUUACUGGGUGUAAAGGGAGCGUAGACGGCAGUGCAAGUCCGGAGUGAAAGCCCGGGGCUCAACCCUGGGACUGCUCUGGAAACUGUAAAGCUGGAGUGCGGGAGGGGCAGGCGGAAUUCCUGGUGUAGCGGUGAAAUGCGUAGAUAUCAGGAGGAACCCCGAUUGCGAAGGCAGCCUGCCGGGGUGCGACUGACGCUGAGGCUCGAAGGUGCGGGUAUCAAACAGGAUUAGAUACCCCGGUAGUC
rnacentral:rRNA from 1 species